UACGUAGGAAGCAAGCGUUAUCCGGAUUUACUGGGCGUAAAGUGGACGUAGGCGGCCUUUCAAGUCGGAUGUGAAAUCUCCUGGCUUAACUGGGAGGGGUCAUCCGAUACUGUUGGGCUAGAGGACAGCAGGGGAAGGUGGAAUUCCCGGUGUAGUGGUGAAAUGCGUAGAUAUCGGGAGGAACACCAGUGGCGAAGGCGGCCUUCCAGGCUGUUUCUGACGCUGAGGUCCGAAAGUGUGGGGAGCGAAC
rnacentral:rRNA from 1 species